rnacentral:rRNA from 1 species
AUUGAACGCUAGCGGGAUGCUUUACACAUGCAAGUCGAACGAGUGGCGGACGGGUGAGUAAUAUAUCGGAACGUGCCCAGUAGCGGGGGAUAACUACUCGAAAGAGUGGCUAAUAACGCAUAUUAUUGGAGCGGCCGAUAUCGGAUUAGCUAGGUGGUGGGGUAAAGGCUCACCAGGGCAACGAUCCGUAGCUGGUUUGAGAGGACGACCAGCCACCGUGGGACGGAGACAGGGCCCAGACUCCGACGUGAGGCAUCAGUGGGGAAUUUUGGACAAUGGAGGAAACCCUGAGACAGCCAUCCGGCGUGUAUGAGAAGGCCUUCGGGUUGUAAAGUACUUUUGGCAGAGAAGCGGUAUCUGCAGAAUAAGCACCGGCUAACUACGUGCCAGCAGCCGCGGUAAUUC